rnacentral:rRNA from 1 species
UACGUAGGGGCGAGCGUUAUCCGGAAUUACUGGGCGUAAAGCGCACGCAGGCGGUUCGCCAAGUUUGGAGUGACAGUUGUCGGCUCAACCGACAAAGGACUUCAAAAACUGGUGAACUUGAGGACGAGAGAGGAACAUGGAACUCCAGGUGUAGUAGUGAAAUGCGUAGAUAUCUGGAAGAACACCAAUGGCGAAGGCAAUGUUCUGGCUCGUUUCUGACGCUCAGGUGCGAAAGCCAGGGGAGCGAACGGG